UCCGGUUGAUCCUGCCGGACCCGACCGCUAUCGGGGUGGGGCUAACCCAUGGAAGUCUAGGAGCCGGGGCUACGGCCGGCUCCGGCGGACGGCUCAGUAGCACGUGGCUAACCUACCCUCGGGAGGGGGAUAACCCCGGGAAACUGGGGAUAAACCCCCAUAGGCGCGGACACCUGGAAUGGGUCCGCGCUGAAAGGGCCACGGUACCAUGCUUACCGUGGCCGCCCGAGGAUGGGGCUGCGCCCUAUCAGGUAGUUGGCGGGGUAACGGCCCGCCAAGCCGAUAACGGGUGGGGGCCGUGAGAGCGGGAGCCCCGAGAUGGGCACUGAGACAAGGGCCCAGGCCCUACGGGGUGCACCAGGGGCGAAACUUCCGCAAUGCGGGAAACCGUGACGGAGUCACCCCGAGUGCCACCCGAAGAGGGUGGCUUUUGCCCGGUCUAAAAAGCCGGGCGAAUAAGCGGGGGGCAAGCUUGGUGUCAGCCGCCGCGGUAAUACCAACCCCGCGAGUGGUCGGGACGUUUAUUGGGCCUAAAGCGUCCGUAGCCGGCCUGGUAAGUCCCUCCUUAAAACCCACGGCUCAACCGUGGGAGCGGAGGGAUACUGCCGGGCUAGGGGGCGGGAGAGGCCGGGGGUACUCCUGGGGUAGGGGCGAAAUCCUAUAAUCCCAGGAGGACCACCAGUGGCGAAGGCGCCCGGCUAGCACGCGCCCGACGGUGAGGGACGAAAGCUGGGGGAG
rnacentral:rRNA from 1 species